CCGGCUGGGGCGCAGCCAUUUUAAUUCAAAUCUGAGUGGGCGGCGGCGGCGGCGGCGGCGGCAGCGGAUUUGGCGGCGGCUUUGGCUCUGAGGGACAGGGGUAGUGUUCCUGGUUUUGGUGGGGUUUGCCUUUAGUUUAAUUUUCCUUUUCUAGCUUCCCUUUGCCGGCUGGUGCGUACGUUGUAGUCCCCCGAGGCCAUGUCAGGAGACGCAGCCGCGGAGCAGGUGAGGAACGGGAGCGGUGGGGCCUCGUGGCGACCUCUUCUCUCUCUAGCCCUGUGGGUGCGAGCACCCCGUUCGCGUGAGCAAGGGCCCUGAAGAGCUAGUGAGCCCGGGGAUCGGGAGCGCAUCCCCCGAAGUCUCCCAGGUUUGGGCUUCUCUGUGGCGUUCGUACGAAUAAGUAUGGGACUUAGACAAUGGCAGAGACGUCGCUUCGCCCUGGCCAUUGCAGUUUCUUCGGUCGGGACGGUGUAUUUCAUACCACUUUAGUGUUCCGGUAGUCCCAGAUUGUUCUAACGUGUAUCUGCGCUGGCAGUGUUUUCCUCGUCUGCCCCCCAGUCCUCUGUCCCCAGAAAUAACGAAAUCAGUCUGGAAAAUUCGGCCCCCGAGAGAGCGAAGGUAAAAAGAGCCACGGCUCUUCCGAGCUUUGGGGGAAUUUUGUGGAUUCGCUUUCUUCCCCUCUCGUUUAGGAACACUUUAUUUUUGCUUUUACGACCACGCAAACAUUGCAGAAUUUGGUAAACUGAAAACUCGAAAUGUGCUUUAGUCACUGUAGGCACCAUCUGUUUGGAUGGUUAGAUAUGAAUGAUACAUAAGUAUUUUACAAAUGGGACUUUUAGAUAGGAGAUCUCACCCUUUUGCUGUUUGGCUGUUUGUUUGUUUUGGAUAGGUUUUCACAGUGUAGCCCUGACUAGGCAGGACCUUCUGACAGGAUUGCUUCCUUGGCCUCCAGGCGUCCAUCUCCAUGUUUGGUUCUUUUGCUCUUUUAUAUCCUAAAUUUUGUAGGCUAGUGUUUGGCUUUUACUGUAAAAAACAAAACUGAGUUUUUGAAAGGUGUGUGUUUUGAUCUUGAUCCACGUAUAUUUAGUUUUAAAAGAAAACAAAGUCCUAAAUUUCUUAUUGCUAUAGCAAUGAAAUACGCUUGUAUUUUUAUUUCUUUUCUUUUUCCCAAAUCCCCAGCUAAUAAAAUAGAAAUUAUUGGAGGUUGACAGAUGAGGUAAAAUAGGACUGUAUGUUAAUGAAGUGUAGGCAAAUUAGAACUUAAUUACUUUGGUGACUGAAACGCUUGAGGACCAAUUUAAUUCCAAGUCUUGGCAGUGCUUUUGCAUUUUAUCUAAAGUCAGGGUGCCCACGAAUGCAGUGUCUUUGAACUAUUUUUCUAAAACUGUUUAUUUUACUCUACUCUUACCGGGCUGGCAUUUUUAUUUUCUGAAAGUGAAGGAGUGGUGUUGAGGUUUCAUUGGAUGUGUCUGAAAUUCACUGUUUUAUAUAAAUUUGUAAAGACAAAAAUUUGCCAUGCUUUUGUUUUAGAACUAUGCGGGUUUUAGUUUUUGUUGUGGGUCAUCCUGCUCCACCCCAGCUAGAGGUUGAACCCCGGGCCUUAUGCAUGCAGGGAAGCAAUCAACCACUGAGUUAAAAGCCUUAGUAACACAGUGUGUGAUGUUUUCUAUGAGAACUGUGAUGAGACUUUAUAAACCUCCAUUCUCCAAACCCCUUUUAUUUUGACAGUUGCCCCUAUGUAGGCCUGGCUGGCAUGGAACUUGCUACAUAGACCAGUCUGGCUUUGAACCUCUGCCUUGCUGAGUGCUAGGAGUAAAGAUGGUACAUGCACAUCUAGCCUUUUUUUUUUCUUUUUUAAUCUAGGAGUACUGUGCAACUCAGGCAGGUCUUGAACUCAUUGCAAUCUUUCAGCUUCAGCAUCUGUAACAGGCAUUCCUCCUUUGAAUUUUAUUGUGCAGUUUACAACAAAAGUUGAAGGGAAAACUCAUGAACACUCAUUAUAAUUUUCACCAAAUCCAGCAGGGUUACAGGUUUUGUCUGUCUGUCUGUCUGUCUCUCUCUCUCUCUCUCUCUCUCAGGGUUACAGGUUUUGUCUCUCUCUCUCUCUCACACACACACACACACACACACACACACUAUAUAUAUAUAUAUAUAUAUAGUAUUGCAAGUAUGUAUUCAUACACAUAUUUCUUGUGGCUUAAAAGCUAGGAACUUCCUCAUAUUAGGCAAGCUCUACUAUUGACAUAUACCUCUAACCUUGACAUAUUUUCUUUCUCCAUACACAUUUCUUUGAAAGUUGACUUAUCACAUUUCAGUCCAAACUAUUUCAACAUUCUUUUAUAUAAUGACAUUAAUGCUUUUAUGUAACUACCAUACCAUUAUCCUACUCAAAAUCUAGUAAUGCCUUAUUGGGGAGUGAGGGGGAUUGCUUUUGUUGAUGUUGUUGUAUAACAGCUCUUGGAAGAUCAGGCAAACCUCCAACUCAGAGAUCUGCCUGGCUCUGCUUCCCAAGUGCUGGGAUUAAAGGCAUAUGGAACCUAUCCUGGCUUCUGUAUUAUUUUUUUGAGAUAGGGUCUUGUAUACUUUGAGGGCAAACUGGCUCAGUUUGUAGCUGAUAAAUGACCUUGAACUUCAACCUCCCAAGUACUGAUCAUAGGUUCUUUCCAGUGCACCUGGCUCAAUAAUGAUGUAUUUCUAACAUGUCCAUAUUCAGAUUUGCCAUUGCCUCAAGAGUGUGAUUUAUAGGGCUAUGGAUGUUGCACAGUUGGUAAGAGUGCUUGUGUCACACGCACAAGGCUCUGGAAUCCAACCUAAGUUCCUAAGCACUAAUUAAGCCAGGCUUUGACAAAAGACCUGUAAUACCUGCACUCAAGGAGUUAGAGGCUAGAGGAUCAUAAGUUUGGAGUUAUUGUUGGCUACAUAGUAAGUUUAAAGACUGUAUGAGCUAUAAAAGACUUUGUCUCAAAAACAAGACAAAACAAAAAACAACCAAACAUCAAAAUAUAAUCUAGGUAAACCACUGAAUCCUGUAUUUAUGUAAUUGCUUAUCUCAUAAACAAUCUGUUAGACUGUACCUUCUCACCUAUGUUGUCUGUUCGAAAAGACAGUUAUCAUUUUGGGAUUUUGUUAGGGGAAUUUUUGAUGGUGCUAUUUAAUAUAUCUUUUACUCUAUUUCUCAGAGAAUGUAUAGUUAGGUCUAUUCUCCAUUUUAGUAGUUUUGAAAGGUUAAUUCCUGGAUAGAAUAUAGUACAAGUCAUUUAAAUACUCUUGUAAAUGGAUGUAUGUGAGAGAGUGUGAGUGUGUAUGUGAGGGCUCGUGUGCUUGGACUUGUGGAGCUCAGAGGGAUAACCUUUGAAAGUAGGUUUUCUCCUUCCACUCUGUAGGUCCUAGAGAUUGAACUAAGGCUUGAUGACCUUUACUGUGUCAUUUUUUGCUAGCACAAAAGUUCAUGUGUGGUAGCAUAUAGUUCUGUAUUCCCAGAACUCAGGUUGAGACAGAGAGGGUAGGAGACCGUUGUGGAUCAUGGAGACCCAUGAAGUCUGAUCCCCCUGGAGCUGGAUACAGAUACUUGUAAGCCAGUGUAGAUGCUAGGAACCAAACUUGGCCCUCUGGAAGGGCAAUAUUCACUCUUUUAACUGAUGAGCCCUUUCUCCAACCCCAUUUAAAAAAUGGAAUUCUGUCUACAAAGCAAACAAAGACAAGGAAGCACUUUUUCUGAUUAUACCACUACCAAUGAUAGAUAAUGUUUGCUUCCUUGGUUGUUGUGAUGAUUGCCACAUGUCUUCAUUGGACUGUUUUUCCCUAUUAGUAACCUGUUUUGAUACUGUCCUCAGGAACCAUCAGUUGACAAAUACCAUCCUCCUGCCUCUGCCUCCUGGGUACUAGGUUUACAGGGGGAUGUGUUACCUGGCUUUUUUUUUUUAAUGUGUUUUUCAUUUUUGUAUAUGUAUCACGUGUACUCCAAGACCUUAGAAGGGGCUUUUUGAUCCCCUAGAAAUGGAGUUACAAUUGUGAGCUACCAUUUGGGUAUUGGGAACUAAACCUGGGUCCUUUGCAAGAGCUCGUAACCACUGAAUCAUACCCCCAGCCUCUUAGUCCCACUACAGAUUUUACAUGGGAAGGAAGGAAGGAAGGAAGGAAGGAAGUAAAGUGUAGUGUAUUUAUCAUAGAGCUUUUCCUUUGCCCUCAUUGCAUUGAAGUAAAUCUCAGUUGCUGUGUUAUAUUAUAUAACUUUAGCUGAAGUAGUAAUUACAUGAUACUUUAAAAGUGUAAUGGGUUUUAAAAUGUGAAUUGGCUGAACAGUUCUUAGUGUUUAAAACAAUGGCCAGUGAAAAUCUGGAGAAAUUAAAUACUAAAAUGACUUCAUAUUACUGGAAGGAUGGUUCGCUGGGUAAGAGGGCUCUCUAUAAUUUAGAAGACUGGAGUCAGUUCUUAAUGCUUACAUAAGGAGGCUCACAAGUACCUGUAACUCCAACCCCAGGGGAUCCAAUGUUCUCUUGGUCUCCUUGGGCACUUGUACACAUCUCAUGCACAUAAAUGAAAACAUUUUUUUAAAUGACCCUUAAUUAUAGGUGAGAAAAACCUAAAUAGAACUGAAGACUACUAAGAGACAAGCUGUGAUCCUAGCAUUUAAGAGACUGAAGAAGGAGGAACUUGGGGUGGAGGCUAUAGUCUGAACUAUACAGCAAGUCUUUCUC
rnacentral:lncRNA from 1 species